rnacentral:rRNA from 1 species
UCAGUACAAAUAAUAUGCUGCCGAACUAAAGGACAAAAAGACCCUUUGAAGCUUUAUAGGGAUAAAACUUGGGUAACAUCUUGAUCUAAAUAGUCUUAUUGCAUACCAGCUAAAGUAGUACUACACUACGUACAGAUUCCUGAUCUCUCCUAAGACCACUGUUUAAUUGGGGCGAUAA